GGGGGAGGGGGGGGGUGGUGGUGAAGGGUCGCAUCGUAAAGUUUCCGGACGUUGGGGGAAUUAGGUCGUAUCGUAAAACAUUUUCCCGCACAUUAGCUUCCUUAUGUUAUUUGAGGUUAACGUACCGUUCUUCCUUUAAUGUUUCAUUUUUUCCUUCAUAUUUCGUGAAUUUUUUUUCCAAAUUUUAGCUAUAAUUUUCAUCUGUUUCACUCAAAUUUUUUCUCUAUUAAAUUCAUGUUUUACCGGCUACGAAAACAAUUUGCCGACUAGGAUUCAUUAUUUUGACGACUACCACAUGACUAGGGGGCGGGGGGUUACGUUGACACUACCCCCCCCCCUUUAAUUUUUUAGUGCUGCCCCUGGUAUGUAGUGACAACGGGCCUUUUAAAAAUUUCUAGGCAUCAGACGAACAUAAUUAAUUUCAGGUUAUGUGGGCACUACACGUCAUGGG